AAAGAUCAACUGCAUUUGACCCCCUUGAUCUGCUGUUUGAGUUCUGGUUGAAGGGGAAUACUGCAGAGGCAUUAGAAGGGUGAGAGAGUUAAAUAAUUCGAUUCCUUGGGGAAGAUCAACUGCUAUGAGUCUCUUCAAUAUCUCACUCUCCUUGCCUUCUUGCUUAAGGUUUGUGUCUACAGGGUCAAAUCUUGAGAGGGUCUUGCUGUGACUAGUGGAUAGUAUGUACUGUUGAGAGACUUUUUGGUGACUACUACUGUGAGGAGAUUCUCGUUAAAGGAAAAAUUUAAAUAGAUUUAUCUGUCUUUAUCUGUGACUAGUGGAUAGUAUGUUGCUCAGGCUUUUGUCAUGACAUUUGGUUGUUGUGUAUUGUGGACAAGGACAUUCAUUUACUGGUCUUGUAGUAUGGGGUCUAGAAGAUGAAUACUCUGCCAUAUGAAAGAAACAAAAGAUUCUCGGUUAGUUUUGUCCUUGUGAAGCAACCUGGUUCCUUUCGCUUGUUUUUUGAAUAGUCGACAUUGCAUUGCCUGUGUAUUCACUUACCAAAAUCAGAUUGUUGAUUUGCCCCAAAGAAUUGAUUUUGGCUAGAGUUGUUAGCUGAAAUAAUUGAAAGGAUUCUGUUGAUGAGUCCAAGUAGAUUCAGUGAAUAACCCUUUGUGGGAAAUUCAUCUCAAAUUUAUGCUGAACAUACUGUCUGACAACGUUUGGAGAUGCAUGCUUAGGGGGCCUUGUCUGCUUUGAUGAAUCAUGUGAAUGUCCAAUGUUGAUCAAGAAUUACUGUACACCAUAUUGCAUCGUUGUGACUUGAGCUUUCUGAUAUUUCCUGCUAUUUUCCAUUUCGUGACGAGCAAUGAAGGUGGCAAUCCGCAGCAAACUGCUUUGAGGUAAUCUAAUAUGUGCUCUUAUGUGUAGCUCCAAGCCUGAGACUUUCUUACUCAGAAUCUCAGUGCUUGAGAUGCAAUCCGAUUUUUCAUUUCAAUCUUUUGGCAGAUGAUUAUUUGUUCUUCCUUUUUUCUGGAUUCUAUGUGAUGCUAAUUCUGGAUUGCUUGGAAUAUGACUGUCCUAUUUGUUUUCUUUGCUAGCUAGCGAUGCAUCGCUUGAACACCAAACCUAGAGCAGCGAACCGCAUCUGGUUGCAGAUGAAUUCGCUAAUCUCUCCGUUGUGAAGAUUUGCAGGAUAUGAUGACCCCAGUCAUCGUCCUCAAAUUGCUGGAAAGGCCCUCGCUUCUCGGUUUGAAAUUUGAACCAAAUUUUUCUCUGCGGUAACUGUAAGAGGCUAAAGCUGCAUCAGUAAGUCCUCCUGCAGAAAAUGGAGAAGAAGAAAAAAGAACAAAGAAAAUAUGAGGGUUAAACCCUUUUUCCUUCUGGGGGUCCUCUCUACUCAUACAAAUCCUCAACCCCACCUAACAUGAAUGCUCUGCCCUUGUUGCAGAAGCAGUCGUUGCAAUGAAUUGAACACAAUCGCUUCUCUGUUGAGCAGUUGCCGACACGUUUUCCACAUUCCCAGUCCUGAUAAAUGCUGUUCUUGGCUUUGUCUGAAAAGCCCAUAUCUGUACUGUAAUCAAGAAUGCAAUCGAGUCGAGUGUCAACCUUGAGCUCUACUCGAUUUGCUUACUCGAUGCUGGAAACUCGACUCAAGCUCCGUAGAGUAUCAAAAUUUAGGCUCGAGCUCGACUCUAAUAGAAAAUUCAGAUGCUUGAGCUUGACUCAAUCAUAAUAUAGUUACAUAUGCAAUCGAGCUUAAGCUUAAUAAGUUCGGAUAUUUUUCUCACGUUCGUACAUGUGAUGGUACAAUAUGUAGUUUUAUAGACUUUUGUGUCUUCUUAUGUAAUUGUAAUAUAUUUCUUAAAAA
rnacentral:lncRNA from 1 species